GGAAGUGGCCGACAUAGAGCCUAAAGUUCUCCCACAGCAUUGAGGGUAGAGUGGUGAUGUCAUACAGAGGUAGAAGUUGUGGUUUUGUGUACAUAAUUUACGGACCUUUCAGAUUUGGUCUAUGACAUAAUUUCAUGGGGCAAGCAUGCUAUUACGCAUAUCCCCAAUGUAAUGACAGCAGAUAUUAUUCAUUCUUACUAGAAAUGUAACAGUUACAUUAUAAAGGUUCACAUGGCCGCGGGGCCAGACGGAUUACCAAGACGUGUACUCAGAGCAUGCGCCGACAAAAUAGCAAGUCUCUUCACUGACAUUUUCAACCUCUCCCUGACCAAGUCUGUAAUACCUACAUGUUUCAAGCAGACCACCAUAGUCCCUGUGCCCAAGAAAGCGAAGGUAACCUGCCUAAAUGACUAUCACUAUCAUGUCGGUAGCCAUGAAGUGCUGUGAAAGGCUGGUCAUGGCUCACAUCAACACCAUCAUCCCGGAAACCCUAAACCUACUCCAAUUCGCAUACCACCCUAACAGAUCCACAGCUGACGCAAUCUCAAUCUCACUCCACACGGCCCUUUCCCACCUGGACAAAAGGAACACCUAUGUGAGAAUGCUGUUCACUGACUGCAGCUCAGUGUUCAACACCAUAGUACCCACAAAGCUCAUCACUAAGCUAAGGACCCUGGGACUAAACACCUCCCUCUGCAACCGGAUCCUGGACUUCCUGACGGGCCGCCCCCAGGUGUUAAGGGAGGCAACAACACAUCUGCCAUGCUGACCCUCAACACUGGGGCCCCUCAGGGGUGUGUGCUUAGUCCCGUCCUGUACUCCCUGUUCACCCACGACUGCAUGGCCAGACACGACUCCAACACCAUUUAUUGAGUUUGCUGACGACCCACCAGUGGUAGGCCUGAUAUAUUUUUGGGGGAAAUAUAUAUAUCCAUAUACAUACACGCAUGCAUACAUAUACACAUAUAUACAUACACAUACCUAUAUAGAUAUACAUACUUUUUAAAGAAUAUACCUUUAUUAUUCCCCGCAAACUCUACCACCCCUCCCCCAAUUGGAGUAAAAUAAUAAACACUUAGGCUUCUACCUUUUAGUUUAUACAUCUUAUACACAUUUUACAGACACAAUAUAUUUUACAGUAGUUAUAUUUUGUUUGUUUUUAGUCCUUCCUCUAUUUCUGAUGCCCAUCCAGUUUGAUUUCUAUUUGUAACUGUGCUAUUUCACAACAUUUCUGAACCUAUAUACAUUUUACAGACCCCGUAUGUUUUACAUUGGUUUUACAUCUUGUUAUUAGUCCCACCCUUCUGCUCCAUUCAACCCCUCCCAUCUAUCUCUCAACAUCAUCCAUUUUGGAUUUCUAUUUGCCAUAUAUUUUUCAACUGUCCUGUGAUGCUUCACAAAAGUACUGAACUUUUCUAUUCUCAUAGCUUCUACAGAUUGUAAAUUAAAAAUAAAUUUUUUGCUUAAAUAAUUAUUAUAUUAUUGAUUGAUUGACUAUGGUUUUUCAAAUCACCCAGUAUUGCUAUCUGCAGCGUUAGUUAUAGGCAAAUGUUGCAAUUAUUCAGCCAUUCCUGGACCUGUGACCAAACACGAGCUACAUAUGGACAAUACCAAAAUAAAUGAUCUAAUGACUCUGCCUCCUCACAGCAGAAUCUGCAGAGCUGGGAAGAUUGUAUCCACCAUAUAUAUAACAUUCUAUUAGUUGCAAGAAUGUUGUAUAGUAAUUUAAAUUGAAAAAUGUGUAUUCUUGAAUCUGGCGUUGUUUUGCGUAUCAAUUCAUAAACCAUAUGCCAUGGAAUGGGUACAUCGAAAAUCUCUUCCCAACUAUUUUGCAAUUUAUAUGGCACAGCUGUCAGUUUUUUGGUCCUUAAAUGAAAUUGGUAUAUGCUUUUAUUUAUCACACUUUUGAGCAGACAUGUCCAUAUGUCUGUGUUAGCUGCAUGUGUGACUGUCACGUCCUGACCAAUAUUUAGGUAUUAUUUCUAUUAUAUUUGGUCAGGACGUGGCAGAGGUAUAUUUGUUUUGUAUUAUGGGGUUUUGUGUGUGGUGUAGUGGGGUAUAUUUGUUUUGUAUUAUGGGGUUUUGUGUGUGGUGUAGUGGGGUGUAUUAGUUUGGUAUAGGUUCUAGGUUUG
rnacentral:lncRNA from 1 species